AAAUAAACUUGUUUUUAAACAUUGGAUGGGACAUUUCAGUAAGUUUUACUUGAAAUGUGUUGUGGUAAACAAAGUUGUGUAUCUGUGGAAAAAUUUGAUAAUCCAGGAAAUGGACAAGAUUUUGCCGGUGGGAAAGUUAAUGUUUCCGAUAAGAUGCCGAAAACUGCGCGGUGGACAAAACAGAAUCCACCAUUCAGAGGAACUAGAAUGGGGAACAUGAAAAUCUGUGGAAAUGAUUUUCUACGUUCCGUUCGACAUUGGGGUGAAGAUUGGAAAUGACAUCUCAUCAGCACACUCGGGAUCACUGCCGAUUUGUAUUCACGGAGAUGGAAUGAGAGAGAAUAAAUGAAAUAUGUUUCUCCAAAUUCUCAUGAAAGAAAACAUGUAUUUGAAAUUUGAAUUUCUAUUUUAGAUCGCCAUUCAAACGAAAUUUAUUUGAAAUGAAAAUAAAAAACA